CAAAACUUGUUUUGUCUCAGGCUGGAGGACAUGGACAUGCUGCGUGUGUCUCCAUGGUGCUGCUGGUUCCUGAUCUGGUUCUAAUCAGGAGUGUUCCAGCUUCGCCCAGCUGACCUGCAGAUUUAACGUGGAUCAGUGAGGGCUCACUGAAAGUGGAGCGCGGAGGAACACGACCACACUGCAGAGGAGGAACGGUCGACACUUACCCCUGUUAGCACUUAAAGAGAAAAUCAUCUUGUUACAGUUGUUAGGAUUCUGACCUUUGGCUCUGUAAUUUAACAAGUGUUUAACAGAGAAAUGGAAAAGCAAAGAGAAAUCAGUGUCAGGAGACAUUAUGUUGAUAAUCCUGCAUCCCUGUUUGUUCAUUUAUCCCUGGUAGCGAGUUUAUUUUGACCAUCAAACAUUCGAGGUAUCAGCAAUGUUUUCAAGGAAAUCAAUGAUUAGAAAUGCAAAUGAAUGUCACUUUUAGAACUGUAUCUCUUAAAAGCAUUGGGUUCUAAUAAAAACUCUUAAGUCUAAUAAUUUAAAGCUAA